rnacentral:rRNA from 1 species
GCGAUACCGCGAAUGGCUCAAUAUAUCAGUUUUGGUUCCUUAGAUCUUACUCAGUUACUUGGAUAACUGUGGCAAUUCUAGAGCUAAUACAUGCAAUCAGAACUCUGACCAGUGAUGGAAUGGGUGCUUUUAUUAGAUCAAAACCAAUCGACGGCGGUGUUCGCGGCCAAAGUCGUUCUUUUUGAUGAAUCUGGAUAACUUUUGCCGAUCGCACGGUCUCGUACCGGCGACGCAUCUUUCAAAUGUCUGCCUUAUCAACUUUCGAUGGUAGUUUCUGCGACUACCAUGGUUGUCACGGGUAACGGGKAAUCAGGGUUCGAUUCCGGAGASGGAGCCUGAGAAACGGCUACCACAUCCAAGGAAGGCAGCAGGCGCGCAAAUUACCCACUCCCGGCACGGGAGGUAGUGACGAAAAAUAACGAUACGGGACUCUUACGAGGCCUCGUAAUCGGAAUGAGUACACUUUAAAUAUUUUAACGAGGAACAAUUGGAGGGCAAGUCUGGUGCCAGCAGCCGCGGUAAUUCCAGCUCCAAUAGCGUAUACUAAAAUUGUUGCGGUUAAAAAGCUCGUAGUUGCAUUUGUGCACCGCGCUGUCGGUCCCGCAUCCCGUAUACUGACACGUCUGCGAAUAUCGUCGGUGAA